rfam:Parcubacteria (Jorgensenbacteria) bacterium GW2011_GWA1_48_11 TY23_C0006, whole genome shotgun sequence.
UAGCGAUUAUUUAAGGGUGGAUGGUGGAUGCCUUGACACUAAAUGGCGAUGAAGGACGUGGCGUAGCUGCGAUAAGCGUCGGGAAGGUGCCUAGCAACCUGUGAUCCGGCGAUGUCCGAAUGGGGUAACCUAUCAUGACAAACUCAUGAUGCUUUGAAUGUUAACUAUGUUCAAAGAGCGCACCUGGGGAACUGAAACAUCUUAGUACCCAGAGGAAAAAAGAAUAACAAUUUAUUCCCUUAGUAGCGGCGAGCGAAACGGGAAGAGCCUAAACCGAGUUUGUGUUUACAUAAAUUCGGGGUUGCAAGAUUAGAGACACCUUGAGUUUGACCAGCCUCGCGUAGACGCAAGUCUAGGCGGGAAAGCUGUUCAUGCUCAAGUAAAGAGUUACAAAUUCAUUGGCUAGCUGAAGUUGCUGGAAAGCAACGCCAAAGAGAGUGAUAGCCUCGUCGGCGAAAGUUGAUGAACUCUUAGUUUUUUUUCUUAAGUAAUUCGAGGCCAACUAACCUCGAGUGAAUCCGGGAGUACUAUCUCCUAAGGCUAAAUACAUUUAGUGAUCGAUAGUGAACCAGUACCGUGAGGGAAAGGUGAAAAGCAGCCCUGUUAGGGCGAUGAAAUAGUACCUGAAACCAUCUACUUACAAGGAAGCGGAGGCUUAAUCCGCCGCAAGGCGGACGGCUGACGCUGUGCCUAUUGAAGAAUGAGCCAACGAGUUUACAUAUAUUGCAAAGUCUAAGACCCCUCGGGGGUUAGAGGCGUAGCGAAAGCGAGUGUUAAAAGCGCGUUACUUUCUUCUUACGACUCGCGACACACGUGGCGAGUCGCAAGGAGAUUUGUUAGCAGUAUGUGUAAGACCCGAAACCAGACGAGCUUGCCCUGGCCAGGCUGAACCCUUGAGAAAUCAAGGGGGAGGGCCGCACCGGUUGGUUGUUCAAAACCUUCGGAUGAGUCGGGGUAAGGAGUGAAAAGCUAAUCGAGUUUGGUAAUAGCUGGUUCUCGCCGAAAUAGUUUUAGGACUAGCGCCGCAAUAAUUCUUAUGGGGGUAGAGCACUGGAUGAUAGCCACAGGGCGAAAGCUCGGGCCAUCAAUCAAACUCCGAAUACCGUAAGAAAUUCGCGGUAGUCAGGCUACGGGGGCUAAGCUCCGUGGCCGCGAGGGGAAGAGCCCAGAUCGCCGUCUAAGGUCCCCAAAUCCAAGCUAAGUGUCAAAGGUAGUUAUUAUCCAUAAACAGAUAGGAGGUUGGCUUAGAGGUAGCCAUCCUUUAAAGAGUGUGUAACAACUCACUAUUCGAGGGUAAUAGCGCCGAAAAUUUAUCGGGGCUAAGCUUGGUACCGAAGACGCGGAUUCAUCUUUCUUCGGAAAGGUGAGUGGUAGGCGAGCAUUCCUUGCGCAGUGAAGCUUGACCCGUGAGGGCAAGUGGAGGGCAAGGAAGAGAGAAUGUUGGCAUGAGUAAUCGCAAAUCUAGUGAAAAACUAGAUCUCCGCAAAUCCAAGGUUUCCUCCGCAACGCAAAUCGACGGAGGGUUAGGCGACCCUAAGGCAAUGGCGAAAGCCGCAGCUGAAGGAUAGCCGGUUAAUAUUCCGGCCCAUCUUAUUUUUUCGAUGGGGGGACGAGGUGCAGUAGGUUCAACGUCUUAAUGGUUUGAUGCCCUUUAUCGCAGGCGUGGUCCUGGCAAAUCCGGAUCGCUGCCUUCAAUGGCAAGCUCCAGAGAAAAGGCGAGAACCAGGUUUUUACCUGGUUCAAGUGAACCGAGCUCAUCUCCGAGAAAAUCCCCUAAGGUUAGGAAAUAAGGUACCGUACCGUAAACCGCCACUGGUGGAUGAGGCGAGUAGCCUCAGGAGAACGGGUGAUUUUUCGUUAAGGAACUCGGCAAAAAAGCUAGGCGUAACUUCGGGAUAAGCCUUACCUCACGCAAGUGAGGUCGCAGCUAAAGUUUCUCUAGCGACUGUUUACCAAAAACACAGCUCCCUGCGAACUCGUAAGAGGAUGUAUAGGGGGUGACGCCUGACCGAUGCGAGAAGGUUAACGGUGGGGGUGACUUGUGCUUCGCACAAGAACCGAUAAUUGAUAAUUUAUAACCGAUAACAAUUUGUUAUUAGUUAUUUGUUAAAUGUUAUUUGUUCUCUGCCCGAAGCCCUCGUCAAUGUCCGCGGUAACUAUAACCGUGUUAAAGUAGCGCAAUUCCUUUCCGGGUAAGUUCCGGAGCGCAUGAAAGGCGUAACGACUGGAGAACUGUCUCAACGAAAAGCCCGAUGAAAAUGCGAUUCCCGUGAAGACGCGGGAUACCGGCAGCAAGACGAAAAGACCCCGGAAGCUUUACUGUAGUUUGAUAUUGUUAUUAAAGCUCGGAUGCGUAGCGUAGUGGUGAGGCUUUGAAGCUAGGAUUUCGGUUCUGGUGGAGCCGCCAAUGAAACAGCCAUCUUUCGAAUUUUAAUAUCUAACCUGUGCGGCAAAAACGCGCGGGAACAGUGUCUGACGGGCAGUUUUUCUGGGGCAGAAUCCUCCUAAAGAGUAAUGGAGGAGCCCAUUAAGGUUGGCUUGGCGCGGAUGGAAAUCGCGCUGGACGUGUAAAAGCAGAAGCCAGCUUGACUGCAAGGCCUACAAGCCGCGCAGAUGCGAAAGCAGGGUUUAGCGACCCGACCAUUCUUUAUAGAAAGGUGGGAGAUAACGGAUAAAAGUUACUCCGGGGAUAACAGGCUAGUGGAGUCCGAGAGUCCCUAUCGACGACUCCGCUCGGCACCUCGAUGUCGGCUCACCACAUCCCGGGGCUGGAGAAGGUCCCAAGGGUUUGGCUGUUCGCCAAUUAAAGUGGUACGUGAGCUGGGUUCAG